CAAAUCNCAAAACUACGGUCUCAGUUCAGAUUGCAGGCUGCAACUCGCCUGCAUGAAGUUGGAAUUGCUAGUAAUCGCGAAUCAGAAUGUCGCGGUGAAUACGUUCCCGGGCCUUGUACACACCGCCCGUCACACCAUGAGAGUCGAUAACACCCGAAGCCUGUGAGCUAACCGUAAGGAGGCAGCAGUCGAAGGUGGGGUUGAUGAUUGGGGUGAAGUCGUAACAAGGUAAC
rnacentral:rRNA from 1 species